UACAGAGGUCCCAAGCGUUGUUCGGAUUCACUGGGCGUAAAGGGUGCGUAGGCGGUCGGGUAAGUCUGACGUGAAAUCUUCAAGCUUAACUUGGAAACUGCGUCGGAUACUAUUCGGCUAGAGGAAUGGAGGGGAGACUGGAAUACUUGGUGUAGCAGUGAAAUGCGUAGAUAUCAAGUGGAACACCAGUGGCGAAGGCGGGUCUCUGGACAGUUCCUGACACUGAGGCACGAAGGCCAGGGGAGCAAACGGG
rnacentral:rRNA from 1 species